rnacentral:rRNA from 1 species
AUUGAACGCUGGCGGCAUGCUUUACACAUGCAAGUCGAACGGUAACAGGUUAAGCUGACGAGUGGCGAACGGGUGAGUAAUGCAUCGGAACGUGCCCGAUCGUGGGGGAUAACGCAGCGAAAGCUGCGCUAAUACCGCAUACGAUCUGAGGAUGAAAGCGGGGGACCGUAAGGCCUCGCGCGAUCGGAGCGGCCGAUGUCAGAUUAGGUAGUUGGUGGGGUAAAGGCCCACCCAGCCGACGAUCUGUAGCUGGUCUGAGAGGACGACCAGACACACUGGGACGGAGACACGGCCCAGACUCCUGCGGGAGGCAGCAGUGGGGAAUGUUGGACAAUGGGCGAGAGCCUGAUCCAGCAAUGCCGCGUGCAGGAAGAAGGCCUUCGGGUUGUAAACUGCUUUUGUACGGAGCGAAAAGGUCCUUUCUAAUACAAGGGGCUCAUGACGGUACCGUAAGAAUAAGCACCGGCUAACUACGUGCCAGCCGCCGCAGUAA